UCCGGCGGAUCCGCGCGUUAUCCGGAUUUAUUGGGUUUAACGGGUGCGUCGGCGGCCUUGUAAGUCAGGGGUGAAAGACGGUAGCUCAACUAUCGCAGUGCCUUUGAUACUGCAGGGCUUGAAUGUACUUGAGGUAGGCGGAAUGUGACAAGUAGCGGUGAAAUGCAUAGAUAUGUCACAGAACACCAAUUGCGAAGGCAGCUUACUAAAGUAUGAUUGACGCUGAGGCACGAAAGCGUGGGGAUCAAACAGG
rnacentral:rRNA from 1 species